GGGGGUGCAGCUCAGUGGUAGAGCACUUCCCUAGUAUGCAUGAGGCCCUGGGUUCAAUCCCCAGCACCCUCA